GGCAUUAACUUAAACUGAAAUCCCUACGCUUCAUUCAUUCCUUCUGUGCAGAUCUGGGGGGAGGAAGACCUGUUCUGCUAUUUUUCAGCCAGCUUGCCAGCUUUGUGACCCACAAGUGCUGAGCAGGAAAGUGCAGCGGUGAGAGCCAGAGAACUGCUCAGCCCUGCAGCUCCAGCUCCUGCCUGAUACACGCCAUGGGGUCACAGGGCAGACCCUAAUAACUACCUGCUGAAAGUGUUUGCUGGGUCAAAUAAUUGCUAAUUGUUAGGACUUGUUCAGUGUCCCACCCCUGGAUGUCUGCUAAUUUGUGAGAAUCAUGACUAUGUUUUUAAGGGGCCUAGAGACUAAUUCAUAAGGUUCCCAAGUCUUUACACAUCAAAAGUCACGACUUCUAAGCCAACAUCAGCAUUCCUGAGAGCGUGACUCCCCAGUUUCAAGUUUCGUUACCAAAAUGGAAUUAUAGAUGAGGGAAAACAUUUAGAUCAGGAAAAGCCUCCUUAUUGCAAAGUUAGCCACAUUAAACAUAUGAGUUUGUUCUCUCCUCUGCAAAUGA